AGUGAACGCUGGCGGUAGGCCUAACACAUGCAAGUCGAACGGCAGCACAGUAAGAGCUUGCUCUUACGGGUGGCGAGUGGCGGACGGGUGAGGAAUACAUCGGAAUCUACUUUUUCGUGGGGGAUAACGUAGGGAAACUUACGCUAAUACCGCAUACGACCUACGGGUGAAAGCAGGGGAUCUUCUGACCUUGCGCGAUUGAAUGAGCCGAUGUCGGAUUAGCUAGUUGGCGGGGUAAAGGCCCACCAAGGCGACGAUCCGUAGCUGGUCUGAGAGGAUGAUCAGCCACACUGGAACUGAGACACGGUCCAGACUCCUACGGGAGGAAGCAGUGGGGAAUAUUAGACAAUGGGCGAAAGCCUGAUCCAGCCAUACCGCGUGGGUGAAGAAGGCCUUCGGGUUGUAAAGCCCUUUUGUUGGGAAAGAAAAGCAGCAGGUUAAUACCCCGCUGUUCUGACGGUACCCAAAGAAUAAGCACCGGCUAACUUCGUG
rnacentral:rRNA from 1 species